rnacentral:rRNA from 1 species
UACGUAGGGGGCAAGCGUUGUCCGGAUUUAUUGGGCGUAAAGGGCGUGUAGGCGGCCUGUUAAGUCUGAAGUGAAACUCCAGGGCUCAACCCUGGAACUGCUUCGGAUACUGGGAGGCUUGAGUACUCUAGAGGGCAGUGGAAUUGCCGGUGUAGCAGUGAAAUGCGUAGAGAUCGGCAGGAACACCAGUGGCGAAGGCGACUGCCUGGGGAGAAACUGACGCUGAGGCGCGAAAGCUGGGGGAGCAAACGGGAUUAGAAACCCCAGUAGUCC